rnacentral:tRNA from 1 species
AGACUCUGGCACACUUUCAGCGUACAUCAAUGAGCUUGCAACUCAACAUGAAUUUCACUACAGAGCC